rnacentral:lncRNA from 1 species
CCCGGUACAUAAGGAACAUUACCGUAAACGUUAUCUCAGUCAGACGGGACUGGAAAGUCCCUUACUAGUAAGGUUUGGGAGAUAUGAUUCACCCGCAUAACAGACAGAGUAUCGAGAUGGUGGAAUGUUUGACACCCAUUACCGGAUGAGGUAUGAGACGGCUGGUUAAUUGUUUAAUUGGAUUUUGGGUUCACGAAUAAGAGAACAUCCUUAUAGACCCC